rnacentral:piRNA from 1 species
UAGAUGACUGUCCUGACCUAGAGCCGUGUU